rnacentral:rRNA from 1 species
UACAGAGGUCUCAAGCGUUGUUCGGAUUCAUUGGGCGUAAAGGGUGCGUAGGCGGCGCGGUAAGUCGGGUGUGAAAUUUCGAGGCUUAACUUCGAAACUGCAUUCGAUACUGCGGUGCUUGAGGACUGGAGAGGAGACUGGAAUUUCAUGGUGUAGCAGUGAAAUGCGUAGAGAUCAUGAGGAAGACCAGUGGCGAAGGCGGGUCUCUGGACAGUUCCUGACACUGAGGCACGAAGGCCAGGGGAGCAAACGGG